AAAGAAUUAAAUUGUUUUUUUAAUUAAUUAGACAUUUUAAAUUUGUAAUUGAAAAGAUAUUUUGGUUAACAAUAGUGAACAGUACUGUGAAGGAAUUUUUUAAGGUUUUUUUGAAAGUAAAAAAUUUUGUACCUUUUGUAUUAGGGUUUAGCUAAUGAAUUUAAAGUUUUUGAUAUCCCGAAAAAUCUUGAGCUAUAAAAAAUAGUUUUAAUCAUUUUAAAGAUUAAGAGAAUUUUUUUAUAGAAAUGAAAUUUUAUUCGUAAGAUUAUAUAUCUGGUUAAAUUUUGAAAAUUAGAUAUUUUUUUAUGAGUUGUGUUAUUGGAUAAAUUCAUAAGUUUUAUUUUCUGGGACAAGCUAGGAAAUUAUUUUUAUAUGAAUUUUAGGAUAUAGUGAAGGUUUAAAAUUUACUUUUUUUUGUAACAAAAAAAUUUUUUUUUGAUUUUUAUAAAAACUUUAUAUUUUUCAAUAAAUUUUAUUCUUGUAAGGAUUAAUGUUAUAAUUAGUAUAAUUAAAUAACUUUAUUAAAGUUAAAUUUAUUGAUGGGGAGUUAAAAAAUAAAAAAGAACUCGGCAAAUAGUUUUUUGGAAUGUUUAUCAAAAACAUUGUAUCUUGAGAUUAUAAGAUGUAGAACCUGCUCAAUGAUUAUAUUAAAUUGCUGUGGUAUUAUGACUAUACGAAGGUAUUGAAAUAAGACUUUAAUUGAGUGCUAAGAGAAUGGUUUAACAAAAAUAGGCUUUUUUUUUAUUUAAAAUUGAAGUUAAUUUAAAAACGAAAAAGUUUUUAUGAAAUUUUAGGACAAGAAGACCCUAUGAAUUUUUUUAAAAAGCUUUUUUUUAGGCUUUUUUAAAAAAAUUUUAGAUAAGUUUUUAAUUAAUUGGGGCGAUUUUUAAAUUUUUAGAAACUUUAAAGAUAUGAUAUUGGAUCCAAUAUUAUUGAUAUAUUAAAUAAAAUACUCUAGGGAUAACAGCGUUAUUACUUUGGAUAGUUCAUAUAGAUAAAGUAGAUUGCGACCUCGAUGUUGGAUUAGGAUACCUUUAUUAGUGAAGAAGUUAUAAAAGGAGGUUUGCUCAACCUUUAAAUUCCUACAUGAUCUGAGUUCAGACCGGCGUAAGCCAGGUUGGUUUCUAUCCAAAUUAUGAUAUAGGUUUUUGUAGUACGAAAGGAAUGAAGAACUAAAAAUUUUUUAUUAAGGUUUAUUAGUUGCAAUGUUAGUU
rnacentral:rRNA from 1 species